rnacentral:rRNA from 1 species
UACGUAGGGGGGCAAGCGUUGUCCGGAAUUAUUGGGCGUAAAAGCGCGCGCAGGCGGUCAUUUAAGUCUGGUGUAUAAACCAAGGGCUCAACCUUUGGACGCAUUGGAAAACUGGGUGACUGGAGUGUAGGAGAGGAAAAGUGGAAUUCCACGUGUAGCGGUGAAAUGCGUAGAGAUGUGGAGGAACACCAGUGGCGAAGGCGACUUUCUGGCUUAUAACUGACGCUGAGGCGCGAAAAGCGUGGGGGAGCAAACAGG